rnacentral:rRNA from 1 species
GACAGAGGUGCCAAGCGUUAGGCGGAAUCACUGGGCUUAAAGCGUGUGUAGGCGGAUUGGUAAGUACCUUGUGAAAUCCCACGGCUCAACCGUGGAACUGCUUGGUAUACUGCUUAUCUUGGGCCACUUAGGGGCUACCGGAACAAACGGUGGAGCGGUGAAAUGCGUAGAUAUCGGGAGGAACACCGGUGGCGAAGGCGGAUCUCUGGGCCUGUUCUGACGCUGAGGCGCGAAAGCCAGGGGAGCAAACGGG